UUUUUGCGUUAGGGAUUGUAGCGGUUAGCUUUUGCCGAGGCGUGCAUCGAGGCAAAACUAGUAGCGAAAAGCGCGACCCCGC
rnacentral:misc_RNA from 1 species